AAGUACAUCAGGAUUAUGUUCAGAUUUCCUCAUGUCUUCCUGACCAUCAAUUGACUAUGGAGGUACACUGGAUGCUAUAUGUGGAGAUCAUUGCUAGCCACAACAAUGUUAAACAUACACUGAGAAUGGCUUAUCUGAUUGUGUUUUCUAUUCUGUGUAAGUGUACAGGUCACAAUUCUGCAUUGUACCUUUAUGUAAGCUUAGCCACACAAAAGAUGCUCUACAGAACACUCCUGGUGAAUUGCAGUGAUGCAUAUCAGAGCACCAGCAAGAGGGUCUGUUUGCACAUUUAAUUCUACUGAUACACAUCAGAAGCUCAAGUCAUUGUCCAGAUAGGCAUCAAGACUGCCUAAGAUGUGCCAGCUCCCAUGAGGAGUGCUCUAAUGUGCAAUGGUUGCUUUUCUGGCUUGCAUACACAGUAAAAUCACAACAACACCUUGCUGAAUGCAGACACUGCAAAACCGCUCAGUUCUAUUUCCUGUAGACAUAAGCCCACUUACACAGAUGCAAAUUUCAAACUAUAUUCAAGUCAUUUUUUAAAAAGUACUCACAUUGGCAGAACAUAAGGUAAUUUCCACUAAGUACUUUUUAAAGGUGACCUUCUAAGCUCAGCACAGGAGCCAAAAGUUACAACCCCCAUAUCAUUUUCUGUGACUCCCGGAAUCUGACCCAACAUCAAUCUUUUAAACAACCAUUUAGUUAACCACAAUUUUAUUAAUUAAACUGUUGUGUUUGCAGUGGUUGAUUAAUUGUUUAAUUUCUAACAUCUAUGUUUAUUCAGUCUGUGUUCAGUCUUAACCAUCCAAGCUCACAAUAGAACCAUUCACACUGUCUUGUUUUUUUGGGAAACUCUUGGUGAUAAUACAGUAUGAGUGGGCACAGGAUGACAACUGGAAUGAUAAUAAUGACGAGGAUACUUUAUCAUGAGCAUCCGCUAUGCAGGCUCUGUUGCAGAGUUACAGGAAAGUAUUAGAGGAAUUGUCUAGGUUUUUGAAAUUUGGUACCACAAAUAAAUGGGAUAACAACACCAACCUACCUUUCCCUCUUAAUCCAAAGAAGCUUUUAUAUGUUUUCAUUGAUUGGUGCUGGUAAUGGACUGGAUUAAGAAAAGCUGAAAGUAAAUCCAGACAAGGCAGAGGUACUUCUUCUCACUAAAAUAUCAGAUAAGAAUACCAGAGAGCGGCCUAUUGGGAUGGGGUCACUGUCUCAUUAAACUUAUGGUUCACACUUUGGAAAUGUUCCUAAUUGCUCAAUGUUUCAAUUUUGUUCAAGUUGAGCCUAGUAUAUCAAUUAGGCCCAUAUGUGAAGUGUGACAUCUAGGUCAUAGUGGCACAUGCUGCUCUCACAUCAGAUUACAGGGGAUAUGGUCCUCGCCAGACCGUGGUUAUGUGAAUCCAUGGAUAUGUCCAAACAGCAUUAAAUCGCCUCUUCCAAUUCCAGCAUAUCACAGAGUUGCAUUGGAAGAUGUUUCUAUUCUUGGUAAGGCUGACAUCCUGUGGCAGCGAGAAACAUUACAGUCUAUUAACCAAACAUCUGCAUGCCCUCUCAAAUGCGAGUGAGCAUGCUAAUGACUGCAUUAUCAUUUAAACAAAACACAAAACAGUCUGGAGCAGUGUAAGAUGCAAUUAUUUCCCCUAAUUAGAUCUGGUGCUGGUUUCAGUCCUGGAUGCUGAUGAGACAAGUAGAAGAGUAAUUGGGAAGAUUAAAAUGCAGCUACGACUGAAUAAUCUGCCUCUUUGGCUAACUAGAUCAUUUUGGAGCAUCCGGCAACAAGCAUUAUAGAGGGAAGAGGAGAAGUCGUAUGCUAAAUCAAGGUACCUGGGUUAUCACUUCAUGGCCUCCAAAGGAUCAUUAUGAAAGCUGGAAGUUUGUUAUAUUUCAUUGCUGGAGGGAUGUUUAUACCUGCUGUCUGCAAUGUCUGUUGUGAUUAUGACUGCUGUAUGAAGUACAAACUUAGGUCAGUGCCACUUGAA